rnacentral:rRNA from 1 species
GACGAACGCUGGCGGCGUGCUUAACACAUGCAAGUCGAACGGAAAGGCCCUGCUUUGGUGUGGUGCUCGAGUGGCGAACGGGUGAGUAACACGUGAGUAACCUGCCCUUGACUUUGGGAUAACUUCAGGAAACUGGGGCUAAUACCGGAUAGGAGCUCCUGCUGCAUGGUGGGGGGUGGAAAGGUUCGGCGGUUGGGGAUGGACUCGCGGCUUAUCAGCUUGUUGGUGGGGUAGUGGCUUACCAAGGCUUUGACGGGUAGCCGGCCUGAGAGGGUGACCGGCCACAUUGGGACUGAGAUACGGCCCAGACUCCUACGGGAGGCAGCAGUGGGGAAUAUUGCACAAUGGGCGGAAGCCUGAUGCAGCAACGCCGCGUGCGGGAUGACGGCCUUCGGGUUGUAAACCGCUUUCGCCUGUGACGAAGCGUGAGUGACGGUAAUGGGUAAAGAAGCACCGGCUAACUACGUG